rnacentral:rRNA from 1 species
UACGUAGGGGGCAAGCGUUGUCCGGAAUCAUUGGGCGUAAAGAGCGUGUAGGCGGUCCGGUAAGUCGGCUGUGAAAGUCCAGGGCUCAACCCUGGGAUGCCGGUCGAUACUGCCGGACUAGAGUUCGGAAGAGGCGAGUGGAAUUCCCGGUGUAGCGGUGAAAUGCGCAGAUAUCAAGUGGAACACCAGUGGCGAAGGCGAGUCCCUGGACAACUCCUGACACUGAGGCACGAAAGCUAGGGGGAGCAAACAGG